AUGUUACAUUUCUAGAUAGAGCGCCAGCGGGAGUAUGUCCAGAGGCUUUGGCAAAGAGGCCAUCCAGAUGAUAGCAGUAACUUUGGACUUCCCCUUAACAUAAUUUGCAAACAACUUAUUUCCAUCAACAAUAGCUGCCCGUCUUUGAAAAACGUGUAUCUGCUGGAGUUCCACCCUUCCCUGGGCCUGGCAUCGCUCAUCCCCCGAUCUCUUGAUCACCUUCUCCAGGAGGCCCGUCACACCUGCAGACCCACAUCAGCCAGCAGCCUCACCUUGCUGGAGAGACGCGUGCUGCGGCUGGCCCUGGAUAUGUGGCUCACACCGGCCCAGCCUGAGUCCUGGUACAGCACACGUCUCCACAAAGAUCUGUUUUCAGCUAAAGUAAUGGGAGAUCCCUUUCUCAUGGAGGAGGUAGGUCUGCUUGCACUCAAGUCCGCAGCAGACGAAGGACAGAACCAAAGCCAAGAUUCUCACAUGCUGCUCCUGGAGACAUUUUCCAAACUUCUGGAACUUGUGACCCUCCGCCACCGGCUGAUAGAAAUGAGUCUGGAGAGUGUACACUUAGCUCGUCUCUAUAAGGAACUGGCAUGGGAGAUGGGUUUUGAAGAGUACCAUUUGUAUCUGAGGCCUGUUCAUUUUGAAUUUGCAUCACACAAGGACAAAGUGGACCAUCCACCUCCCGUUUUUAUCACCUCUCUGCUGGAGGACAGUGAUCGAGUGGACAGAUAUUCUCCUACUACUCUUGUGUUAGCCAUCUCUGAGGUGGAUGAUAACCAGGUUGGCAAGUUUAGCUUUUAUACGAAGGAAGCCAUCCUUAAGGUAAAUUACUGUUUUUAAAGAAACUAAAGUUAAACAAUUUGCUCGUGUAUUUCUUUAAAGAAAAUAAUAUUUAAUUUAUAUAAGUUCAGCUCCCCUGUGUAAGAAAAGCUUCUAGCCUUACCUUAUUUGAUGUGCACAUUGGCCUGGUUUAAACCAUAGAGACUGCAACACCCCAUGCAAUAACCACUGCUAACUAUCUUAAAGAAGCACAUGUAGUGAACCAUCUUUGUACCAAAUUUUUAAAAUAUGUACAUGUUAUUGGAGAUUUUAUUUGAUCUUCUUGAACUUGGUGCUGUUUUUUUCCCCCUUCCAUUCAGAUGGAUUUCUUUGCUUCUGUGUGAGUAUGUGUAGGUUUGUAUUUGCAUGUGUGUGUUUUAAACAUUAAUCUAAUUUUGGCAGUUUUAAAAGUUUGCCACUGAGCACAUGUUUGCUAGUUCAUCAGAACCUACUCAUCCUUUUCUGACCCGAAACCUGAUGGUGUCCAGCUAUAGAGCAAAUCAGGCCUGCAGGCUGCCUUCAUGGGAUGAAAUGGUGCUUAGAGAGAGACUAGGUUCAGUCCCAUGGGACUGAUCUCAGCACAUCCGUCAGUUGGAUUCAUAUGUUUACAUGUUAAAUAAGUGUUGAUCUCAAACCCUCAACUUCACCUCUUGCUUUAUGACAGAAAUUCCUAAUAUUUCACAUUUUUCUUCCUUUAGCUCUUAUUCCAUUCAGGAGUGGAAAACAUGCAAGUGACCCUUGCAUGCCAAGCUGCUCAGAAAAAUGCUUUGAUGGUGGCUGUCCAACAGGCAUCCUUCUAUCACACGUCCCGAUGGGGCUGUUCUGCUGAUGUGAAGGUCAGCUUGUAAGAUAGAGAACCCUGAGGCAUGCUACUAUAUGGCAGCUAAUGCUAGGAUACCCCUUCCAUUCCUUCUAUCCUUUAGCCUGUCCCCUUCUCUCUUCCCUUCUUUUCUUCCUCCCCUUCUCCCCUUCCCUCCUUCUCUUUCUUCCUUCUUCCCCUUCUUGUCUAUCUUUUUAUCUU
ensembl:lncRNA